UACGUAGGGGGCAAGCGUUGUCCGGAAUCAUUGGGCGUAAAGCGCGCGUAGGCGGCCCCGUAAGUCCGCUGUGAAAGUCAAAGGCUCAACCUUUGAAAGCCGGUGGAUACUGUGGGGCUAGAGUCCGGAAGAGGCGAGUGGAAUUCCUGGUGUAGCGGUGGAAUGCGCAGAUAUCAGGAGGAACACCAAUAGCGAAGGCAGCUCGCUGGGACGGUACUGACGCUAAGGCGCGAAAGCGUGGGGAGCGAACGAGG
rnacentral:rRNA from 1 species